CGACAGAUAUAACAGUUACCGACAGAUAGACUCUGUCGGUAAAUCUUUCGGUAAUUAUUGAAGGAUACAGGCCGUCGGUAAAUCCGUCAGUAAUGCAUAUUGUAGUUACCAACGGACAAAAUCCAUUGGUAAAUCUAUCAGUAAAAAGAGUGUCAAAAUUCCCACUAAUUUUUUUUUCCCUCUCUCUCUACGCGAAGAAGAUUACAUUUUUCUCUCUUACAAAUCAGUUUCGUUAUUUUUUCUUUCCUCUCAUCUCAAGAGCAUUUCUCACCUUCUCUGCAACCAUUUUUCUCUCUCGUGCAACCAUUUUCCCACACUGUCAUUGUUGUCGUUGGAGAGUGUCACCGCUGCCGUUGAAGAGCACCACCACUGCCGUUGGAGAGCUCCACCGUUC
rnacentral:lncRNA from 1 species